rnacentral:rRNA from 1 species
AUGGCCUCGCCGCCGCAGCCGCAGGUGGACGUGGACCUCGGCAAGCUGAGCUACGAGAUCUUCUCCUUCCUCGAGAGCAAGUUCUUGUACGGUGGUGGCGCUAGCGGGGGCGGGGUGUGCUCGCUGCCGGGCACGCCGGGGCGAGGGCCGGUCGGCGGUGGGGGCGCGAGGGUGCGGGUGCUGGCCAUUGACGGCUGCGGCCCGGGCCCCGGGGACGCGCUGCUGGCAGCCGCCGCGCUGGCCAGGCUCGAGGCCGCGCUGCGGGCCAAGGCCGGCGACCCCGACGCUCGCGUCGCCGACUUCUUCGACGCCGCCGCGGGGGCCGGCGCGGGCGGCGUGCUCGCGGCGAUGCUGUUUGUGAGGGGUGUUGACGGGCGGCCCAAGUAUACGGCCGCGGACGCGCUGGCGUUCGUGGCGGCGAGCCUCGGGAAGGGCGGGUGGGGCGGAGGUGGAGGUGGAUGGCGCGGGAGGUGGGCCGCGCUGUUCCGGCGCGGGGAGAGGUCGUCGGACAAGUCCUCGUUGUCGGCGUCCUCGUCCUCGUCGUCGCUCCGCCGGGUAUUCGGCGACGCGACGCUGAGGGACACGGUGGCGCCGCUGCUGGUGCCGUGCUACGACCUGGCCACGGGCGCGCCGUUCCUCUUCUCCCGCGCCGACGCCGUCGAGAGCGACAGCUUCGACUUCCGCCUCCGCGACGUCUGCGCGGCCACCUGCGCCGGAGGCUCGGCCGCGACCGCGGUCCGCUCCGUGAACGGCCUUACGGCCAUCGCCGCGGCGUCGGGCGGCGUGGCAGCGAUGGGCAACCCGGCCGCGGCGGCCAUCACCCACGUCCUGCACAACAAGCAGGAGUUCCCCCUCGCCGCCGGCGUCGACGACCUCCUCGUCGUCUCCAUCGGCUCCGGGUCCUCCUCCGGCGGCACCGCCUCGGGCUCCGCCACCCCGUCCGCCGGGUGGCGCACGCCGAUCCCCCCGCGCUCCCCGUCCCCCGCCGAGAUGGUCCGCCUCACCGCCGAAGGCGUCGCCGACAUGGUCGACCAGGCCGUGGCCAUGGCAUUCGGCCACACCUGCGGCCGCAACUACGUCCGCAUCCAGGCGGCGGCGCCGGCGCACUCGAUCAAGGCGCUCCGGUCGCUGGAGGCGCGGAAGGUGGUGGCGAUCGCGGACGGGAUGCUGACGCAGCGGAACGUGGAGGCGGAGCUGUUCCGGGGGCGCCGGCUGUCCGAGAAGUCCAACCGGGAGAAGCUGGACGCGUUCGCGACGGAGCUGGUGAAGGAGCACGACCGCCGGCGAGACUCGCCCCCAGGGCUCCUCCCCAACGUGGCCAUCAAGCAGGUGUCGCCGACGCCGCCGCGGCUGUCCUCGGCCACCACGUCCUCCGCCGCGACCACGGGCACCACCGGCAGGACCGCGUCCACCAUGCCGUCGCCGGCGUCGACGCAGGACUCAGGGCACUGA